rnacentral:lncRNA from 1 species
CUGUUACAACUUACAAUUAUGCCUCUCACUCUCACUCUUUCGCAAUUCUGAACCUUUUAGCUCAUCACUUUGUUGCAUUAAAACAUAGAGGUAUGCUUAUAAUUUUCUGCUCUAGUUAUUAUGCCAGCUAUGCCAUUAUAGACUAGACAGUUAAUUUAAGCAUAUAACAAGUUCCUAUUAUCAUGAUAAAAGUUCCAAUUCUAAAUGUUGUCAUUCAAUUUUUACAGGAAGAGUUUAAGCCAAUCUGCCUUCGAACAAAGGUACAGCUGACUAUCUUUCCUUUUGUUUUAUUUUAUGAUUUCAGGAAGAGUUUAAGUCAAUUUUUGGUUUUUUAAUAUUUGCUUAGUGUCAUAGAGUUUGGAUAUUUUUUUUUAAAAUAGGGUUGUUCUCAGAUCUUGUUUGAGUGCAAAGAGACCUGAGGGAUCUCUAUGUCUCUCUUUGCAGUUAAUGGUAAAAUUUCCCAUGGAAAUUGUUUUAUAGACAACAUUUGCUUUUUCAUCUUUUUCAAGGCCUGUGACACCACUGCCAGAACCCACCGCUUUGCGACGUCGGGAAGGUCUGAAACUGUCUAGGUGGUAAUCCCGACAGCUUCGCUUCUCCUUUCUAUCAAGAUAUCCAAAUGCCAAUUCUUUCAUUUGCUAGUUAUUCUGUCAUUCAAUUUCAUCUUUCACGUAGGUAAGAGCCACCCUCGAUGCAGUUGAGGAAGUCAUAGAAGAAAGAGAUCUCGAUCCCUUGUUUUCAGAGAGGUAUUGUCUGCUUUUGCCUAUAACUGAAGUAGCUUAUAUAGGAUGUAUAUAUUUUUUAUAUAUAUUUAAAAGUUAAAAUAUGUUAUGCUUCAAUUUAACAAUUAGUGAAGCUUAAGUUGAAUUAAGAAGUCUUCGUUGUCAUUAAGUUCUCUAUGUGCUAGUCUUAUCCACAUUUUUGCUUAUUCUAGUAGAGGGUUUGCCUUAAAAUUUGCUAGUCUUAUCGACAGAGAAGGUAAACAUGAACCACUUUUUUUUUUGGGGUCAAAAUUCUCAAACUCAUCCAUUCUUUAUAAUAAUUAUUAUAUUAUUAAUAAGAAAUACAAAGUGUUGGUUACUAAUAAUUAUUAUAUUAUUCUCAAACUUUUUGCAAUUUUUUUUUUACUUUUUAAUUAUUUUAUUUUUGUUCUGAUCUCUGUUUUUCUCUGUUUUGAUUCUUUGGCAUAAAUUAUUCUAGAGGUACCUUUAUGAGUGAAGCAAAAUUUGUCAUGUGUACAUUUAAUAUAGAGAAGUGAAGUUGGCAGUGAUAAUGGGGCAUUAAAGUAUACAACCACUAUUUGAUAAUGGUUCAAUUGAGAGUUUACGUUUAGCUCUUCGUAUAUUUUGGUAUUAAAGUAUAUGAUUGUACUUUGUUAUGGCAGGUAUACUUUAUUUUGGAUAAUGCUACUACUUAGCAAGCUUGCAUUCAGCUACUAUGUG